rnacentral:rRNA from 1 species
CCAAUAGCGUAUAUUAAAGUUGUUGCAGUUAAAAAGCUCGUAGUUGAAUUUCGGGAUCAAUUUACUGGUCGUGCUAUUGUACGUACUGGUUUUAUUGGUUUCUACCUUCUGACGAAUCAUGAUGUCAUUAAUUUGGUGUUAUGGGGAAUCAGGACUGUUACUUUGAAAAAAUUAGAGUGUUUAAAGCAGGCUCACGCUUGAAUACAUUAGCAUGGAAUAACGAUAUAGGACGUUUGAUUCUAUUUUGUUGGUUUCUAGGAUCGACGUAAUGAUUAAUAGGGAUAGUUGGGGGCAUUAGUAUUCAAUUGUCAGAGGUGAAAUUCUUGGAUUUAUUGAAGACUAACUACUGCGAAAGCAUUUGCCAAGGAUGUUUUCAUUAAUCAAGAACGAAAGUUAGGGGAUCGAAGACGAUCAGAUACCGUCGUAGUCUUAACCAUAAACUAUGCCGACUAGGGAUCGGAUGAUGUUAAUUUUUUAAUGACUCAUUCGGCGCCUUACG